UACAGAGGGUGCAAGCGUUAAUCGGAAUUACUGGGCGUAAAGCGCGCGUAGGUGGUUCGUUAAGUUGAAUGUGAAAUCCCCGGGCUCAACCUGGGAACUGCAUGCAAAACUGGCAAGCUAGAGUAUGGUAGAGGGUGGUGGAAUUUCCUGUGUAGCGGUGAAAUGCGUAGAUAUAGGAAGGAACACCAGUGGCGAAGGCGACCACCUGGACUGAUACUGACACUGAGGUGCGAAAGCGUGGGGAGCAAACAGG
rnacentral:rRNA from 1 species